AGAGUUUGAUCAUGGCUCAGAACUAACGCUGGCGGCGUGCCUAACACAUGCAAGUCGAGCGGUUACCAAUUUGUAGCAAUACAGAUGAAGUGAUAGCGGCAGACGGGUGAGUAACACGUAGGCAAUCUACCUUUCCGUCCGGGAUAACUAGCCGAAAGGUUAGCUAAUACCUGAUACGACCACCGAGCGGCAUGCUUGGU
rnacentral:rRNA from 1 species